GGCAAGGCGGUGGUAUCCUGACUCCGUUUGGCUGUUACCUCGAAAGGGGAAGACUCCGAUGCGUGCUGGAAGUGAUCAUCGCCACCGGGGGGAGACAAAGACGGCCGGGCGUGGUGCUGGCCCCAAGACCACCUCCCUCAUGCGUGUGCCACAGUGCCGGUGGCUGCACUUGCCCCUACAGUCUCUGGAGGCUACACGGGGGACAUUUGGCUUUGGCUGUUGAAGAAAAGUCAUCUUACAAGUGUGUGUGCUGAAGGUGGUGCAUCAGCCAGUCAUCUCGGUCAUCUCGGUCAGUCGACCCGUGGCACCUGCUGGGUCUGCCCCGUGACCUCCUGCCAGCGGGCGUUCGACACUUCACGUGGUAGCCUCAAGGUGCACAUGGCCUGGCACAAGCGUCGUGGUGACGUCAACGCUACUUAGUGGCGAAUGGCGGUUGUUGUUGUUGUGUGUGUGUUAAUGUGUGUCUGUGUGUAAGUGUGUGUGUUAGUGUGUUAGUGUGUGUCUGUGUGUGUAAGUAUGUGGGUGUAGGUAAGUGUGUUAGUGUGUAUGUUAGUGUGUCUGUGUGUGUGUGUCACU